GUUGAAUCAAGCUGAAUCGAAACGUAACGUAACCACCCACCACCAUAUUGAAAAAUAAAUUAGUUUAUCGAUGAUGAAUUGAUGAUGAGCAAGUGUUAUUAGUGUUUUUGAGUGAUAAAAGUUUAAUGUAUCAUAGAAAAAAUGGCUGGAAAUUUCGGAAUGCAGCAGCUAAUCCCCAUUGUAAACAAAUUGCAAGAUGCAUUUGUGCAAAUGGGCGUGCACAUGUCUUUAGAUCUUCCCCAAAUUGCAGUUGUGGGUGGUCAGUCCGCAGGAAAGAGUUCGGUGUUAGAAAACUUUGUAGGCAGGGACUUCCUACCCCGAGGCUCCGGAAUAGUAACGCGACGUCCAUUGAUCCUUCAGCUAAUACAUGGAAAUACAGAAUAUGCGGAGUUCCUGCAUUGCAAAGGAAAGAAGUUUGUUGAUUUCAAUGAAGUACGUGCGGAGAUUGAAGCAGAGACAGACCGCAUCACUGGCUCUAACAAGGGCAUAUCACCAGUUCCGAUUAAUCUGCGUGUUUAUUCCCCAAAUGUGCUCAACUUGACCCUGAUUGAUUUGCCGGGUCUGACUAAGGUGCCUAUUGGUGACCAGCCGGUAGAUAUCGAACAACAGAUCAAAGGAAUGAUCUUCCAGUUCAUCAGACGCGAAUCCUGCCUCAUCCUCGCCGUCACUCCAGCUAACACAGAUUUGGCCAACAGCGAUGCCUUGAAACUUGCAAAAGAAGUCGACCCUCAAGGUCUUCGUACGAUCGGUGUGAUUACGAAGUUGGAUUUGAUGGAUGAAGGCACCGAUGCACGAGAUGUGCUCGAGAACAAACUGUUGCCUCUCCGACGCGGUUACAUCGGUGUCGUCAACCGAUCACAGAAAGACAUUGAUGGCCGCAAAGACAUCACCGCUGCCUUGGCGGCCGAGAGGAAAUUUUUCCUUAGCCACCCAUCAUACCGACAUUUGGCGGACCGACUUGGUACCCCGUACCUGCAGCGUGUACUGAACCAGCAACUGACCAAUCACAUCAGGGAUACCCUCCCCGGCCUUCGAGACAAGCUGCAGAAACAACUGCUCACACUCGAGAAAGAUGUCGACCAGUACAAACAUUUCAGACCUGAUGAUCCUUCCAUCAAGACUAAGGCUAUGUUGCAAAUGAUCCAGCAGUUGCAAACAGACUUUGAACGCACAAUUGAAGGUUCUGGCUCUGCACAGAUCAACACAAACGAACUAUCGGGCGGUGCAAAAAUCAAUCGGUUGUUCCACGAACGAUUCCCCUUCGAGAUUGUCAAAAUGGAAUUCGAUGAGAAGGAACUGCGUAGGGAGAUCGCUUUCGCUAUUAGGAAUAUUCACGGUAUUAGGGUGGGCUUGUUCACUCCCGACAUGGCGUUCGAGGCUAUUGUAAAGAAACAAAUCGCGCGACUCAAGGAGCCCAGUCUGAAAUGCGUUGAUCUCGUCGUGGCUGAACUGUCCAAUGUUGUUCGCAUUUGCACUGAAAGGAUGUCCCGGUACCCGAGGUUGCGUGAGGAGACGGAGCGCAUUAUCAUGUCUUACGUUCGUUCUCGCGAACAAAUGUGCAAGGACCAACUGGUGCUGCUCAUCGACUGCGAGCUCGCCUACAUGAACACCAACCACGAGGACUUCAUUGGAUUUGCCAAUGCUCAAAAUCAGUCUGAGAAUUCAACAAAGUCAGGACAUCGCGCGUUAGGUAACCAAGUCAUCAGGAAAGGGUACAUGUGCAUCCACAACUUGGGUAUAAUGAAAGGAGGUUCCAAAGAUUACUGGUUCGUACUGACUGCUGAGAGCAUCUCCUGGUUCAAAGACGAAGAGGAGCGAGAGAAGAAGUACAUGCUGCCCCUAGAUGGACUGAAAUUGAGGGACCUGGAGCAAGGCUUCAUGUCGCGCCGACACAUGUUCGCACUCUUCAACCCAGAGGGCAGGAACGUGUACAAGGAUUACAAACAACUUGAGUUGUCGUGUGAGACACAAGAUGACGUCGACUCGUGGAAGGCUUCGUUCCUUCGCGCCGGAGUCUACCCAGAGAAGACCUCCGAAGCAGCCAAUGGAGACGAGUUUUUUCCGCCUUCCAGUGGUAUGGGUGGAAAAAAAAAUAAAAGAAGUUCGGACAGCACAGGCACAAGCAGCAUGGACCCUCAGCUCGAGCGGCAGGUGGAGACCAUCAGGAACCUGGUCGACUCGUACAUGCGCAUCGUGACGAAGACGACGCGAGAUCUCGUACCCAAGACCAUCAUGAUGAUGAUCAUCAAUAAUGCCAAAGACUUCAUUAACGGAGAGCUGCUUGCACAUCUAUACGCCUCCGGCGAUCAAUCACAAAUGAUGGAAGAGUCUCCAGAAGAGGCUCUCAAGCGCGAAGAGAUGUUGCGUAUGUACCACGCUUGCAAAGAAGCGUUGCGGAUCAUUGGCGACGUUUCCAUGGCAACAGUGAGCACGCCUGUUCCUCCGCCCGUGAAGAACGACUGGUUGGAGAGUCGCCUGGACUCCAACCCGCGACUGUCGCCGCCCUCCCCUGGCGGACCACGCAGAGCUGCGCCUGCGCAGCAAGGCUCGCUAGGAGGUCGUGGCGCGCCGCCUCCCCCUGGCGGUGGUUCGGGCCGGCCUGCGCCCCCGCUGCCGUCGCGCCCUGGUGGCGGAGCCCCGCCGCCGCCCUCCGUGCGCCCCGCGCCCGGCCAGCCCGGCCUUCCAGCGCCACUUGUGCCCACGCGGCGCUAAGCGGCCCGGCGCGUGCGCACUAACUCACUAACAUAAGUUACGUAUCGACGUAAGGCACUAACUACGAACUUGUUAACUUAUUACACGUUGGCAUCAGUGUAACUGCCCCAGUUUACCGUAACGUUACCUUAAUAUUGAACAUACCGAAAAUAAUUUCUUAUCUCUAAGAUCCAUUUCUUGUUUUUCGUCUAAGAACCUUGGAUCAGUGACGAGAUUGUAGUAAGUUAACAAAUAUCGACAAAUUUAUAAAUAAAUUAUACAUAUGUUAUAUACAAUAUUAUUAUUAGUCAUGUAAAUGAUCAAUACUUAUGAUACGUAUGAAAAAAAUGUUGCUUCCAUAAAAUUAUUAAAAUAAUAGUGGAAUUUAUUACCUUUUGGUAGAAUACAAAUUAAAGAUAAAUUAUAUUCUGCUUAUGUAUCCUUUGCGGGCAGCCUUUCGUUAAACGAACCUUUUGAAUAUACGUUGAACGUUUUAUUUAGAUGUCUAUUUUUAUUCCAUAAUGUGUAAUAAACUUUCUGAAUGUUAUAUUUUUGAUGAAACUGGUUGUGUACUCAUCGAACAGUGCAGGCUGCUCGCCGACCGAUACAUAUUCUACGUAAACAGUAUCCGUUAUACUAUUAUGAUAAUAAAUGUCUACGCAAGAGUUACCUUCAAUAUAUUCGUGUGACUACAAUAAGAAACAAGCUGAAGGAGGGGCUAACAAUGAUUUAAUUUGGAUAUUAUUUUGGUAUGAUAAACAAAAACGUGUUUUAUUAUAAAUAGUUUAGAUUCAUUUUUGCAACGUGUUAACAAUAUUGAAGCACCGCAUGCUUUUUGGCACUAAUUUGUGUGAUCCUCGUGGUUUUAUUAGUUCAAACGUAUUGAUAUUCUUUGGUCGUGUAUCUACUUCUUAAUGGGAACUCAAAGUUAAGUAUCACUAUAUAUGUGCUCUGUAGUAUGAUGAAUAAAAAAAUAUGUCUACUAUCCUAGAAAUAUAAAUGUAGCAAUUUUGUAAAAUACUCGAUAAAGUUUAAUAUUGUGUAGUUGGUUAGUGAUGUAUGUUACUGAUUCAUUCACAGUUACCCUGUAAGAGUUGUAUAUGUUCACUUUGAUAAUUAAUUUAUUAAACGAACACUUGCAUUAUUAUGGCGGUUACGUUACUCCGAAAUGUCUUACAGAGAAGCUGUGACAGCUUUAAAGCAACUUGAUAUUAUUGUCACUUAGGACUUUCUGUCUCUUUCUUCCUUGUGUUUAAUGUUCAUAUUUGACUGUUGCUGUACCCUUCUACUAGAAAACAUAUUCAUGGAUGCACAAAGGAUUCUUUAUCUAUCCCCAUCAUAUUUUUGCUUUGUGUUUGUUUUAAUCAUUUUUGAAAAGGAAAUAUUCGUGAUGAAAUAUAUAGGAGGCCUGGAGGUGGACUGCCAGCGGGUUCAGUAGCCGGCGUGAUGAACCAGAUGCCGCCUCACAUGCGUCAGCAGGUCAACCAGGCCGUCGGCCAGGCCGUCACCAACGCCGCCAUCAACGAACUAAGCUCCGCCUUCGCCAGAUUCAAGUAAACAAGACAAUGUUGUUCUACGUCUCUAUGUCAUGUACGCAAACUUUGUAGGAAACGUCGUCACUUCAACCAGCCGCUGUCUCCGAUCACCUGACAACACAUAUCAGUGUAGACAUUCCUUCUCACGGACAUAUCAAUGUUACUCCCACUGCCCUGCAUACAUCACAUGUGGACAGUAUUGAUAGUAAUCUACCACAUGGUUUACUCAUUUCAUGAAUGAUCUUAUGACACACAAUGUGUGAACCAGUAGCUUUUUGUUUUAGGAUUAAGUAAAUGCGAAUUUAUCCGAAGUGACCACGUUUGUUACAAGUGACGUCUGUCCAUCAGUAACUUUUCUCCUUGAUGUAAUGGAAAACUUCUGUAAAUUAAUGGAUACGCAUUAAAAUGUUUGUUUUAAAACAUCGCUUAUACACAUUCUUAAAUGAAUACCGAAAUGUAUGUUAUAGUUACUGUUUACGAGUUAUUGUCGAGACUGUGAGCGAUGUUUUAUCACGUAAAGUUUUCUGUUGCUUAUAAUGUUUUACAUGUUAACUUGUCCAAGCAUUUUCAGAGCACACUGUUUAACUGCUUGAACGUUUAGUGUGAACUAAACCUCUUGUACAUGGGUAUAGAUUGCAGUGUUGUGUUACAUUGCUUCUCGUCCGACUGUGUUUGUAUUCCAAUGUGCCUGUGUAACACGUACGCUGCACACCGACUCUGCUUGUGAUACAUAACCAACGUUACCGUAGGGUUUAUAAUUGUAUGUAUUUAAUAAUUUAUUAAUAUAUUCAACUCUUUUAUUGAUCACAAACAUUAUUUUUGCUCAAAAUCACGGAGAUCACACAUUUUAUAAUAAUGAUGAUUUAAAAAUAAUGUUGAAAUACUCUUAUGGCAAUUGAUAUUAUGUUACCAAUAUCGUGGCAUAGAUAUUCUGUGUACAUUCCAGUGAUUAUAUUUCGGUACCAGCGAGAUUAUGUUUGCAAGUGUUGCAAUGGCAACUAACAGGUAUAACCUAACUAAUGUAAUAUGCAAUCGUUGACCACUUGCAGACUAAUCUACGCUUGCAAACAUGUUGCUUUAUGUAAUGAAAUUUAGGUUAUAAUUAUUUAAUUAGGGUUGUUACCCAAAGAUAUUAACAACAAUAAAAUUUUGUAUAGCGUCGUAAAUUUUAUAAUGACUAAAUUGUUCAGUAUUAACUGUGAAGGAAGUAUUGUCUCACAGCGCUUGAUAUUAUGUAACAAUGCAAACGUACAUUGGAGCGCGGGCACGCCGCGCGCCGCGCAUUGCGCAUUACUUUAAUUAUACUUACUUAUGAUGUAAUUAACUUUAUGUUACGAUUAAUUGUAAAUGUUACAUUCAGUGGCUUAAUAUAGGUGUAUAUUGGGAUUACGUAGUUGAGUUGUUUCGCGGAGGGCAUUACGGGCUCCUGGAGUGAGCUGGGAGUCUUCGAGCAUAUCAUAUUGUUUUGUAAUGUGCUAGAGUUGUUUGUACACUAUUUAAAGACAAGAUAUAUUUGUUGAUGUUGCCGCACCAUGUCGCGUAGAACUAGCUGCGUAGGAACAGUCGUUGCAACAUGUACUCACGUCAGUGUCUAGGUGUUACAGUAGUUUAGAACUUUGACACGCUCGUCUAUUCUCUUCCCGUCUCCAGUAGCGACGAUGCGUAUUUAACGUUUAUGCAUUAACUCUAAAAUGUACCCAGCUUGAUUGUUGUAUAUUUACAACGUAUGUCAGUAUAAUCAGGUAUUUAGUGAUCACUGGUAACACGUAACUUAUGAACUCGUAACGAUAUAUAUCUAUCGAUUAAAGUUUGUAUGUAAACUUAUUGUACUUAUAAUGGAUAAGACCAAAGCAGUUGUCUCGUAUAUUGUUGCUGUUAGCAAUACCUUUGGUCAAUUAUUAGAACAUUUUAUUGAUGGUGAUGAUACAAUAUGAAUUCGUUAUUAAAAAUAUUAAAUAAAGCUUAUCGAUAUUUUAAUCUUGGAAUCAUCAUGCAUCCACUUCAUCGUUAACUAUUGCGGUUGUCAGAACGCAAACAUUGACACUAGACAUCAUGUUGUCGGCGUUACAUUUAACAUAAUUAUGAUAGAGUGGUACCACGGAAUAUGUCUGUGGUAUGGGAACGAAGUCACAGUGACUUGAGUGGCUCGAGGGGAGCUUCAUGAGACGUACGCGAUGCGGCCAACGCGACCGACGCCGUCGCCAAACGGAGUUCCUAAAUAUGAAGUGUUUAAACGCAACAUCUAGUUGUACUCAUUGCUCUAUCGACAAAUAGCUGAAUUCCAAAUUAAUCGUUCAUUAAACGUUUUGCUCUCUCUUGUUAAUAGCGUUAGUACCAUCGAAAAAGGUAUAGGCAGUGAUUGUUGGAUUUGAUAUAGUUUAUGAAUAUUGUUAAUCUUAUGCUGUAUAAAUAGAGUAAUUAAAUGCUAUAUGUGUACUAAAGACGUUUGAUUUAUUCCAGUAGUUUGGCCCAUUGGCUAUGUUACUAACAGGUUAUGUUAUCUACAGGUGUAAUAUUAGCCGCCCGGUGCCGAACAUGCCGCCCAAGCUGCCGGAGAGGCCGCAGAAUGGCCGGCCUUACUGAACGCGCCACACUUCGCCGCCCUUGUGAUACUAAGCAACUAUGUAAAUAUGUUCCCUACUGUGUACCUACUUUGCUUACAAUUAUUUAAUGCUUAGCAUUGACUAAUGACUAUAAGUCGAUGAAAUUCGUAUUUUACAAUAUAAUUUUAAUGAAAGUAGUUCAAUUUAUUAUUUUCUUAAUAUGAGCCCGUUAACAUGCGCUUGCUGAUUGAGAAUUAUUUUAUAAAAUAUGUAAGAUGAGGAACUUCAUGAAUUUAUGUACUAAGUUAUUGAGAUACUAAUUUAUGGUCGCGUGUAUUGGCCAACGGGCCUUAUUGUUAUGACUUCGAAUAACUGUUAUUCUAAUGUUAACCAAGCAAAGUGAUUAGAUUGUGUCUGUACGUACAUUUCGUAAUAAUGUAAUUGUAUUUUACGGCACUGGCACGCGAUUUUUAGAUGUAUGUACUUAUAGUAACACGUUUACAUUUACUUGUAUUUGAAAUCAAAUGAUACAAUUCUCGAUAAUGUUUUUAUGUCCUCGUGUAGGAGCGAUGUGUAGCAAGCUGUCGGAUUUUCGACUGAUAUUAUAAGUAGGAUAUUGGCAUGUUUGUGAUAGAAGAGGCUACUCAAUAAAAUGGAUGCCUUCAGUAGAGAUGUACUUCACAUUUAUCGUGUUAUCGUGGCAUUUAGUAUUAAAGCCUGGCACCUGGCCGAUGGGGCGUUAUGCAUCGAGUUCAAAGAGAUUGUAAUGUACAGACGAAGCAUUUAUAAAGUAAUCCGAUGUAUGUCUGCGCGUCUAACACUAGUCAACCCCUAAUUUUAUCGAAAAACAUUUUUGUUAUUCCCAAUUUUAGAUUUUUCUAAGUAAAUACUUUAGUUUUCAUACAUUCCUUUUAGCCUCAUGGUCUCGGGCCAGGUCGUAAAUGUAUAUAAAUGUAUAAAUAUUAUAAUAGACCUGUUUAUACUGUGUACUGUUGUAUGCAAUUGUAAUAAAUGUGUAAAUAAAAACAUA